CACCUUUGGCCGCCGCCUCCCCUCUCAUCUCCUCCUUUUCCAAACUCUUGCAGCCACACACCAAACCCUAGCCGCCCCCCCAUCUCCUCCUCCCAAGGUGCUUUUCGUUGCCGCUCGGAUCUACGUCGCGUGGUGCAAAUCUUCGAUUGUUUUCAGUGGAGGGAAGAAGGGAGGAAGGAAAGGGGGACAACCCAAGGUGAUUUUUGUGUUUAUCUCUUGUUCAUUUGUGCUGCAAUCCAAUUGAUUAGAUGUGGCGUAUGCGAUUGGGUAGAGGGGCUGUCCAGAAUUUUAGGUGGCGGACGAACAGCAGUAAUUCUAGCAGUUUUUGGGUUUUUUCGUGGGGAGUUAAUGGGAAUCAGUUUGGGAAUCACGUAGAACUUUGGCAUACCUUUCCAACGAGUAUUUAUGCGCUCAAUUCGGAGUUAUAAAUCAAAAGAUAUCGCCAUUUGAAUCCGGGUAUGUGGCUGUCCAAAAAAAACAGAUUUUUCAGGUGGACAAACAGCAGCAGUGUUAGCAGUUUUUUGGGAUGUUUCAUGAGUAAUUAGUGUUAAUCAUUAUGAGAAUCACAUAGGGCUUUGUCUUACCUUUCCAACAAGUACUUAUGCGCUCGAUUCGGAAUUAUAUUUUAAAAGUUAUCGCUGUUUGAAUCUGGGUAUGUCGCUGCCCAAAAGAGGAAAAAAACAGAUUGCUGUGUUUAUCUUGUGGACCGUUUAGGGGUAAUUAGAUUUUAGAAUUUAAUCAUAACUUGUAUACAAAACUUGUGGGGAAUUUUAUGUAGAUGUCUCUGGAGUUUUUGUUUGUCACGACUGCUGCCUUAAUUUUAAAGUUAUGGAAUCGUUAAGCAGCGCCGCUGCAGUUUGGUGGGUGUGGGGAGAAUUGUUACCCGCGGCGGGGUUUGAGAUUGCGCGUAGGUGCGGCGUUGUUUUUGGGCUUAUUAUGUGAUAUUGGUGCACUAAGUUGGGUGUCAAAAACAGGUAGUGGACUUCCGG
rnacentral:lncRNA from 1 species